rnacentral:misc_RNA from 1 species
AUCAUUAGGCUUUGAGGUUGAACACGCAUUUGUGGAUCCAAAGAAAUCUGAUCUGCCUGGAUACGCAGAGUCGCUGAUCAUGCAUGCAGUUCCUUUGCAGAAUACGAUGAUUGAGGGGCACUUCAAGGGGAUGCAUUUUCGCCAUGUGAUAAAGCAUUAUAUGAUUCAAGCAGGCAAUGUUGAUAGCCUUGGGGCUGUGGAAGACUGGACUUUGAAGGGGAAACGUUAUAGUCAACUUGAUACAAGUUUAAAACAUGAAGCAUUCAUGCUUGGGACUUCUAAGGCAAAAGAUGAUGACAAAGGAUUUGAGGCUUUGAGCUUUUCAUUACAACUGCACCCAU